UUUUUUGAGCCUUAUGGUGUGACACUAAAUAUUUAACUUUAGAUAUUGAAUUAUACUACCGAGCAGUUUUUCUCUUCUUUUUUUGGAAAUUAAUUGAUCAGUAAUUAUGGGGGUUAAUUUGAUUGUUAAAUACUGGAUUUAGGUGGUAGCAGUUCAAUCAGUGGCUUCGAUUGUAUUUUUAGUAAAUAUUGGGGUUUGAUUAUGCAUGAAAAAUAAUUCAGAUAGCUAAUUAUUGUAUGCGGUUAAAUUCAAAAGUUGAUACUGGAUUACCUUUUCCUUAGCAUUUAUUUUUUAUUAGUUCUGAUUCAGCAUAAAAACACUUCUUCUCUGAUUGUCUCUUAUACUGUAUGGUCAUACUAAUCUUCCAUCAUGGACAUUGUUAGAUAGCCAGUAUGGUGGACAGUCUGUUCCGGAGUAGCUGCAAGCCCAUAAGCACUUAUGUAGGAUAUGACCUUAUGAUACAGGGAAUGUGACCUUAUGUAUGCAUUAUGAUCGAGGAGUUGUAAAAAAAUUUCUAAGGGGUUGGUUGCUCAGGUACCGUUUCACAAUAGUUGCAUCCUCGAUCAGGAUGACAACGAAUCCGGACAACUGAUCGUUUUGUAUGCUUUCAUUGUCAUUUCUUGGAAUCACAAAAAAGGUUUUCAUAAUUAGGAAAACUUAGGGUGUGGUUCACAUUACUAUCUUCGUAAGAUGACAGAACAUCAUAUGCAUCCUGUUUCGCUCUGCCUAACAUUUAGUCGAUGCUAAAUCUCAACUGGUGUAAGAUGAAGUUUAAGGUUUAACAGAGGUCUAAUACAAAGAAUUCGCAAGGCUUAUUUAUGGGCACUAAAGAAGUUUUGUUCAGUCACAGGGUUUACUUAUAUUGUCUACCAUCUGGAUUUGCAAUCAGUACUACAUGCUUAGAGGUUCUUAUAUCUGUUCGGCCCCGAAUGAUAGAGGAAAUUAUGCUCUUGCGCAGAGAAGGGAGUAUGCACCAGCUGAGCAUACGAUCUCAAUUCAAGUUUCUAAUGAUAUAGGACUUCAGAUAACUAGGCAAUGUGGGAUGGAGUUCAAGCCAGAGAGGUUACACUCACACAUGAAGUCAUGUAGAGGCUUUAAAAGCCUGAGCAAGAAUCUAAUAGUGCUACAGCUGGGUAUGAUUUUGAGACUGAUCAGAAGUUCUUAACACCAUUCAGAUCUUUUACAGAAAGAAACCAGCAGGGAUGUUUUGAACUAUCUUAUGCUUUGAAAAUGAUGGUGAAAUCUCUGUUAUCUGUCUGCUUAUGCAUUACUAUUAAUAUGUUUACUGUUUAAUUUUACUGCUCUUUAUCCUUUGGUCUUAACGUUAUAGCCUACGAACAGUAGCAUCAUGUUCUUGAAAAGAGGUGGCGCUGGACACGUCGCCUAUUUAGAAAACGAAAUGUCUUUGUAGACAGGCUGGUGGUGCGUCUACUUAAAAAACCGAACGACUUCGACGGGAUGAUGCUGCUGCUAAGGAAAAUAAAGCUCAACUCUUGGUUGUUUAGAUAUUAGUGUGUAAAAGGACUAACAUGUAGCUGAACUUCAAAACCAUUUCAUAUGAAUUGGCUAAACAAAGACAAUAAUGUAAUUAAGUUGAUAAUAAUAAUCUAAAUUUU